rnacentral:rRNA from 1 species
ACAGCGAGCUUGCUCUGUGGGAUCAGUGGCGAACGGGUGAGUAACACGUGAGCAACCUGCCCCUGACUCUGGGAUAAGCGCUGGAAACGGCGUCUAAUACUGGAUAUGUGACGUGACCGCAUGGUCUGCGUCUGGAAAGAAUUUCGGUUGGGGAUGGGCUCGCGGCCUAUCAGCUUGUUGGUGAGGUAAUGGCUCACCAAGGCGUCGACGGGUAGCCGGCCUGAGAGGGUGACCGGCCACACUGGGACUGAGACACGGCCCAGACUCCUACGGGAGGCAGCAGUGGGGAAUAUUGCACAAUGGGCGCAAGCCUGAUGCAGCAACGCCGCGUGAGGGACGACGGCCUUCGGGUUGUAAACCUCUUUUAGCAGGGAAGAAGCGAAAGUGACGGUACCUGCAGAAAAAGCGCCGGCUAACUACGUGCCAGCAGCCGCGGUAAUACGUAGGGCGCAAGCGUUAUCCGGAAUUAUUGGGCGUAAAGAGCUCGUAGGCGGUUUGUCGCGUCUGCUGUGAAAUCCGGAGGCUCAACCUCCGGCCUGCAGUGGGUACGGGCAGACUAGAGUGCGGUAGGGGAGAUUGGAAUUCCUGGUGUAGCGGUGGAAUGCGCAGAUAUCAGGAGGAACACCGAUGGCGAAGGCAGAUCUCUGGGCCGUAACUGACGCUGAGGAGCGAAAGGGUGGGGAGCAAACAGGCUUAGAUACCCUGGUAGUCCACCCCGUAACGUUGGGAACUAGUUGUGGGGUCCAUUCCACGGAUUCCGUGACGCAGCUAACGCAUUAAGGUUCCCCGCCUGGGGAGUACGGCCGCAAGGCUAAAACUCAAAGGAAUUGACGGGGACCCGCACAAGCGGCGGAGCAUGCCGGA